CACGUAGGGUGCGAGCGUUGUCCGGAAUUAUUGGGCGUAAAGAGCUCGUAGGCGGUGUGUCGCGUCGGCCGUGAAAACCUGCAGCUUAACUGUGGGCUUGCGGUCGAUACGGGCAUCACUGGAGUUCGGCAGGGGAGACUGGAAUUCCUGGUGUAGCGGUGAAAUGCGCAGAUAUCAGGAGGAACACCGGGUGGCGAAGGCGGGGUCUCUGGGCCGAUACUG
rnacentral:rRNA from 1 species